rnacentral:rRNA from 1 species
ACGUAGGGGGCGAGCGUUAUUCGGAAUUACUGGGCGUAAAGGGCAUGUAGGCGGCCCUUCAAGUCGCGUGUCAAAGUCCAGUGCUCAACGCUGGGAGUGCGCGCGAAACUGACUGUCUUGAGGCUUGGAGAGGGGAGCGGAAUUCCCGGUGUAGUGGUAAAAUCCGUAGAGAUGCGGAGGAAUAUCGGCGGCGAAGGCGCCCCACUAGACAGUUUCUGACGCUGAGAUGCGAAAGCGUGGGGAGCAAACAG